rnacentral:rRNA from 1 species
AGCAGCCGCGGUAAUUCCAGCUCCAAUAGCGUAUAUUAAAGUUGUUGCAGUUAAAAAGCUCGUAGUUGAAUUUCGGGGUUAGUAGGUUGGUCAUGCCUCUGGUAUGUACUGGUCUCACUGAUUCCUCCUUCCUGAUGAACCGUAAUGCCAUUAAUUUGGUGUUGCGGGGAAUUUGGACUGUUACUUUGAAAAAAUUAGAGUGUUUAAAGCAAGCUAACGCUCGAAUACAUUAGCAUGGAAUAAUGAAAUAGGACGUUCGAUCCUAUUUUGUUGGUUUCUAGGAUUGACGUAAUGAUUAAUAGGGAUAGUUGGGGGCAUUAGUAUUCAAUUGUCAGAGGUGAAAUUCUUGGAUUUAUUGAAGACUAACUACUGCGAAAGCAUUUGCCAAGGAUGUUUUCAUUAAUCAAGAACGAAAGUUAGGGGAUCGAAGACGAUCAGAUACCGUCGUAGUCUCAACCAUAAACUAUGCCGACUAGGGAUCGGAUGAUGUUAAUUUUUUAAUGACUCAUUCGGCGCCUUACG